rnacentral:lncRNA from 1 species
GUUAAAACCACCGGUCUCCUCUCUCCACAUAUACAGCCAGGUUAAAACCACCGGUCUCCUCUCUCCACAUAUACAGCCAGGUUAAACCACCGUCCUCUCUCCCACAUAUACAGCCAGUAAAACCC